ACAUGUACCAAGAUAAAGGGCUUAAAUCAAACCAGUACCCUUGAUCUUGUCUUGCCAAUGCGGCUGUAGCGAUAUUGAAAUCAAAUGGCUGUGAAGUUAACUGGCCGGUUAUCGUUCUUUGUCGAUCAAUCUGCUUACCGAACUUCACACAUUUCAAAUCUUGUUUUUUUUAUUUAGA